UAAAGAUUCAUCGCUGAUAGAUAGGCAUGCGUUCCAUUAGGCAGUUGGCGGGGUAACGGCCCACCAAACCGACGAUGGAUAGGGGUUCUGAGAGGAAGGUCCCCCACAUUGGUACUGAGACACGGACCAAACUCCUACGGGAGGCAGCAGUGAGGAAUAUUGGUCAAUGGGCGUAAGCCUGAACCAGCCAAGUCGCGUGAGGGAUGAAGGUUCUAUGGAUCGUAAACCUCUUUUAUAAGGGAAUAAAGUGUGGGACGUGUCCUAUUUUGUAUGUACCUUAUGAAUAAGGAUCGGCUAACUCCGUGCCAGCAGCCGCGGUAAUACGGAGGAUCCGAGCGUUAUCCGGAUUUAUUGGGUUUAAAGGGUGCGUAGGCGGCCUUUUAAGUCAGCGGUGAAAGUCUGUGGCUCAACCAUAGAAUUGCCGUUGAAACUGGGGGGCUUGAGUAUGUUUGAGGCAGGCGGAAUGCGUGGUGUAGCGGUGAAAUGCUUAGAUAUCACGCAGAACCCCGAUUGCGAAGGCAGCCUGCCAAGCCAUGACUGACGCUGAUGCACGAAAGCGUGGGGAUCAAACAGGAUUAGAUACCCUGGUAGUCCACGCAGUAAACGAUGAUCACUAGCUGUUUGCGAU
rnacentral:rRNA from 1 species